CUACGGGACGCACCAGUAGGGAAUUUUCGGCAAUGGGCGCAAGCCUGAUCUAGCCAUGCCGCGUGAGUGACGAAGGCCUUAGGGUCGUAAAGCUCUUUCGCUGGGGAAGAUAAUGACGGUACCCAGUAAAGAAACCCCGGCUAACUCCGUGCCAGCAGCCGCGGUAAUACGGAGGGGGUUAGCGUUGUUCGGAAUUACUGGGCGUAAAGCGCGCGUAGGCGGAUCAGAAAGUUGGGGGUGAAAUCCCGGGGCUCAACCCCGGAACUGCCUUCAAAACUCCUGGUCUUGAGUUCGAGAGAGGUGAGUGGAAUUCCGAGUGUAGAGGUGAAAUUCGUAGAUAUUCGGAGGAACACCAGUGGCGAAGGCGGCUCACUGGCUCGAUACUGACGCUGAGGUGCGAAAGCGUGGGGAGCAAACAGGAUUAGAUACCCCGGUAGUC
rnacentral:rRNA from 1 species